rnacentral:rRNA from 1 species
CGAAGGGAAACCGAGUCUUAACCGGGCGUUAAGUUGCAGGGUAUAGACCCGAAACCCGGUGAUCUAGCCAUGGGCAGGUUGAAGGUUGGGUAACACUAACUGGAGGACCGAACCGACUAAUGUUGAAAAAUUAGCGGAUGACCUGUGGCUGGGGGUGAAAGGCCAAUCAAACCGGGAGAUAGCUGGUUCUCCCCGAAAGCUAUUUAGGUAGCGCCUCGUGAAUUCAUCUCCGGGGGUAGAGCACUGUUUCGGCUAGGGGGCCAUCCCGGCUUACCAACCCGAUGCAAACUGCGAAUACCGGAGAAUGUUAUCACGGGAGACACACGGCGGGUGCUAACGUCCGUCGUGAAGAGGGAAACAACCCAGACCGCCAGCUAAGGUCCCAAAGUCAUGGUUAAGUGGGAAACGAUGUGGGAAGGCCCAGACAGCCAGGAUGUUGGCUUAGAAGCAGCCAUCAUUUAAAGAAAGCGUAAUAGCUCACUGGUCGAGUCGGCCUGCGCGGAAGAUGUAACGGGGCUAAACCAU